rnacentral:tRNA from 1 species
UGCGCUAUAGCUCAGUUGGUGAGCACGCCAGUUAAGUGGAUUGUCCCUGGUUCGAACCCAGGUAGCGCAGCCA